UAAAUCUGGUUAGUUUAAUUGGCUCAUGGAGGAUGGGUGGCUGAACCAGGCUUGUGGACUCUGCUGUGACCCUAUGACCAGUAAUUGCACCUGGGUCCCAUCACAUCUGGUCACUACCAGCAGCUGUUCUGCCCUCAAAGUCAGAGGCCCUGCCACAAUCCUCUGGUCCCAGGACCCCAACGUGCUCCCCCACAAGCUACUGUGAUGAAAGGUUUUUCCUUCACACCCCCCACCCCCAGGUUCCAUGAUCAGGAACGUGCCAGCUAACAGACAGUAGGCAAACUGCGAGAAGAAACAAAGCUCGUGUAUAUAUGUACAGUAACAAAUGCCCGAGGUGAAGAUUUACGUACAGGACUUUUAAAAAUGUUUAUAUUAUUCUUAUUUAUGUGUGUUUGUGCACAUGUGUGCAGGUGUGCAUGGAUUCCAGAAGAGGUCAUCAGAUCUCCUGGCAGUUGUAAGCCACCCACAGUGCUGAGACUCCCGACUCCAGCUUAGAACCCAGCCACAGCCCCUUGUCUGUUGCUUUGAGCCACCGAGAUGGCUCAGCAGUUAAUCUCUGGGUAUGUCUAAAAGGGAGAUUCCAGAGGUUUAUCUGAAAUGGGAGGACCCACCUGAAUGUGUCCUACACCAUGCCUUGAAUAAGACAGAGACAGUGAUCUGAGCACCAGCAUCCAUCUCUCCUCCUAAGCACCAGCAUCCAUCUCUUUCUCCUUCCUGACACUGGCUGAAAUGUGACCUCUGGCUUCAUGCAACUGCCGUCAUGCCUUCCCUGCUACGGUGGACUGUAAACACAAACUGUGAGACAAAACAGGCCCUUCCUUUUCUUCCCUUUUCUCUUUUUAAGCAAGAUUUAUUUAUUCUCAUUUUAUAUGUAUUGAUAUUUUGCCUUGCAUAUAUGCCUAAGCACCAGGAAGAUGCAGUACUGGAAGGGGCCAGUAGAUGGCAUCGGCUCCCCUGGAGCUAGAGUUAACAAAUGGUUUUGAGCCACCUUGUGGUUGCUGGGAAUGGAACCCAGCUCCUCUGGAAGAACAAGAGCUCAUAACUGUGGCGCCAUCUCCCCAGCCCCAAACCCUUCCUUAAUCAAAAUGCCUUGGCCGGGUACUUUGUCACAGCAACAAGAAAGGUAACUCAAAGGCUGGUGAGAUGGCUCAACGGGUAAGAGCACUGACUGCUCUUCCGAAGGUCUUGAGUUCAAAUCCUAGCGACCACAUAGUGGCUCACAACCACCUGUAAUGAGAUCUGAUGCC
rnacentral:lncRNA from 1 species